rnacentral:misc_RNA from 1 species
CAUUUCUUUGCCCGUGCAAAAUUUUCACAAGAUUCUAGCGCAACGAACAACAAAAUCCUAGACCUCUCAUACAAUAUCUGGUCAUUUAUCACUCGAACACAAUCUUCUUGAGUCACCAGUAAAGGAAUACAUAUUGCUCAACUCUUUGUUUGGGUUCAUAUAAUGGAGGGAGUGGGAGAUGACAGUGGGGCACCUAUUGCCAAAUGGAGG